rnacentral:rRNA from 1 species
UACAGAGGGGGCAAGCGUUGUUCGGAAUUACUGGGCGUAAAGGGUGCGUAGGCGGCCUUCUAAGUCAGACGUGAAAUCCCCGGGCUCAACCCGGGAACUGCGUCUGAUACUGUCGGGCUAGAGUCCGGAAGAGGCGAGUGGAAUUCCUGGUGUAGCGGUGAAAUGCGCAGAUAUCAGGAGGAACACCAAUGGCGAAGGCAGCUCGCUGGGACGGUACUGACGCUGAGGCGCGAAAGCGUGGGGAGCAAACAGG